GACGAACGCUGGCGGCGUGCUUAACACAUGCAAGUCGAACGGAAAGGCCUGCUUUCCCUUGUGGAUUGCGGGUACUCGAGUGGCGAACGGGUGAGUAACACGUGAGUGAUCUGCCCCCAACUUGGGUAUAAGCCUGGGAAACUGGGUCUAAUUCCCGAUAGGACUGCAGGGUGGUGCCUGUGGUGGAAAACGAUUUUCUAGUGGUUGGGGAUGAGCUCGCGGCCUAUCAGCUUGUUGGUGGGGUAAUGGCCUACCAAGGCGGCGACGGGUAGCCGGCCUGGGAGGGUGGACGGCCACAUUGGGACUGAGAUACGGCCCAGACUCCUACGGGAGGCAGCAGUGGGGAAUAUUGCACAAUGGGCGGUGGCCUGAUGCAGCGACGCCGCGUGGGGGAUGACGGCCUUCGGGUUGUAAACUCCUUUCGACCGCGAGGAAGCCACCUGGUUGGAAGGGUGGUGACGGUAGUGGUAGAAGAAGCACCGGCUAACUACGUG
rnacentral:rRNA from 1 species